AGAGGAAGCCGGUGCGAAUCCGGCGCGGUCCCGCCACUGUCACCGGGGAGUGCUCCCCCACCACCCACAGGCCACGGCUCCCGCCCGGAGCUGGAAGGCCGGGGAGAGCGCGGAUCCGGGAGCCAGGAGACUC
rnacentral:ncRNA from 1 species